rnacentral:rRNA from 1 species
GACGAGGGGUCCAAGCGUUGUUCGGAAUUACUGGGCGUAAAGCGUGCGCAGGCGGUUGUGCAAGUCAGAUGUGAAAUCCCCGGGCUCAACCUGGGAACUGCAUUUGUGACUGCACGGCUGGAGUGCGGCAGAGGGGGAUGGAAUUCCGCGUGUAGCAGUGAAAUGCGUAGAUAUGCGGAGGAACACCGAUGGCGAAGGCAAUCCCCUGGGCCUGCACUGACGCUCAUGCACGAAAGCGUGGGGAGCAAACAGG